rnacentral:rRNA from 1 species
CGGACGGGUGAGUAACACGUGGGUAACCUACCUAUAAGACUGGGAUAACUUCGGGAAACCGGAGCUAAUACCGGAUAAUAUUUCGAACCGCAUGGUUCGAUAGUGAAAGAUGGUUUUGCUAUCACUUAUAGAUGGACCAGCGCCGUAUUAGCUAGUUGGUAAGGUAACGGCUUACCAAGGCGACGAUACGUAGCCGACCUGAGAGGGUGAUCGGCCACACUGGAACUGAGACACGGUCCAGACUCCUACGGGAGGCAGCAGAU